UACGAGGGGGCUAGCGUUGCUCUGAAUCACUGGGCGUAACGCGCACGUAGGCGGGUCGUUAAGUCAGGGGUGAAAUCCUGGAGCUCACCUCCAGAACUGCCCUUGAUACUGGCGAUCUCGAGUUCGGGAGAGGUGAGUGGAACUGCGAGUGUAGAGGUGAAAUUCGUAGAUAUUCGCAAGAACACCAGUGGCGAAGGCGGCUCACUGGCCCGAUACUGACGCUGAGGUGCGAAAGCGUGGGGAGCAAACAGG
rnacentral:rRNA from 1 species